GCCGAAGUAGCUCAACUGGUAGAGCAACUGACUUGUAAUCAGUAGGUUGAGGGUUCAAGUCCUUUCUUCGGCACCA
rnacentral:tRNA from 1 species